GUUUGACCCUUGAGCAGAGGUUGCCCUUGGUGAAUUCGCUUUAUUUAUGUUGAAUCACACAAAGGCAACUUUUGUUUGAGUAUCAAAU
rnacentral:pre_miRNA from 7 species